rnacentral:lncRNA from 1 species
GUUUUUUUUUCUUCUUCUUCUUCUUCCUUAUCUGCAUCCUUCUGGAAAUGUUUACCCAAUCCACAGGGGAGGCAGCGAAAUGAAGUUGGAACAGGCCCAUCCCUGAGGGAAACAGGACCCAUCUGGAUGCCGAAGUGCCUCUGCCCCGGCAACGCUGGUGGUGGUGGCGAUGGGGGUGGGGAGCUUGAAGAAGACAGGGAAAGAUGAGUCUCUUCCAGUUUUCACACGCUUCAGGAUCCAGUCGCAGGCUGAGCGAAGCAAAACUCCCAGGGAAACGUCUUCCCUGUGGGAUAGGGAGAGAGCUGUGGUCCGGCAUGGACCCUCUUCUACUCAGAUUCAAACCAGCCUCCCCUGGAAACUGGGACAGUUCUGUUUGCAAAGGGCGGGCUGCAGCCUCCACAGCUGCCCGGACUUCUCAGAACCAGCAAGAGCCAGGUUGCGGUGGUUUGGAGCCCAGCGCCGAUAAUAAAUCUCCAUCCUGAAGCCUUUGACUGCCUCCGCGGGGAAUUGAAGCACAGCCUUUCUGAGCGCCCGCUGGCAGCCCCGCCGCAUUGCCAAGCCUUGACUCCAGGGCUCUGGCAGACGGCCUUUCUGGACCUGCCUUUUUUCUUCACUUUUUUCCCUCCCCCAACCUCUCAUCUCACCUCUCCUUGAGCAUUCACAUUUCUAUUUCCAGCCAACUGUUUUUAAAUCCUGGGAGAGUUCAGAGAAGACUUUAAAGGAUUUUGCAAUCUACCAGUGCGCCUCUCCCCUUGAACUUGGAGUACUGAGGAGGUGGGACAACAGGUUCCAGAGCUGGGCACCCACGCUUCUCAGGUAUGCUUCUAGUUCUGUGACCUUGGGAAGGUCAUGCACAUCUUGCUUUUUCCAGGUGUACAGUGAAGAUUUGUGUUCAAUGAAUUUUGAGCCCCAAACUCUGACAUACUAGCUGAUGAAGUAGUUCUGCUCGGUUGUCUGAAUCUGUACUGUACAAAGCAAUGAGGAUAAAGCUUUGCAGAUGCCUCCCCUCUGCAGAGAGGCUGGAAGCACAUCUUCCAGCACAAUUCUCUUGUGGAGCUGGCCCAAAUCCAAGCUCCCUUGCAACAGAACAGCUCUUUUUCCCAGAGCCCUUCAUCAAUAGCCGUUUACAUAGAAAUUGACAUGCUUGCUUGUCUAUCUCCCACUAACUCUUAGGGGAAGAUGGUAGACAUGCCUUCAUUCGUAUAAUCAACCUGUUUUAUGUUAAAUGCCUACUAUGUGACUUGCUAGGUGGCUAGGAGACAAUGGUAUACACAGCCGACCCUGCCUUCAGGGGGCUUGCAAUCUAGAGAGAGAGGCUUAGGUCAUUUAUAUAACCACACAAAUCUGUCCUGACAAUCAUGGCAGGAGCUACAGAGUGAAGUUCAGAGAGCUGGGAGUGUGUGGG